GACGAACGCUGGCGGCGUGCCUAAUACAUGCAAGUCGAGCGGAUCUUCAUUAGCUUGCUUUUGAAGAUCAGCGGCGGACGGGUGAGUAACACGUGGGCAACCUGCCUGUAAGACUGGGAUAACUUCGGGAAACCGGAGCUAAUACCGGAUAAUCCUUUCCCUCACAUGAGGGGAAGCUGAAAGACGGUUUCGGCUGUCACUUACAGAUGGGCCCGCGGCGCAUUAGCUAGUUGGUGAGGUAACGGCUCACCAAGGCGACGAUGCGUAGCCGACCUGAGAGGGUGAUCGGCCACACUGGGACUGAGACACGGCCCAGACUCCUACGGGAGGCAGCAGUAGGGAAUCUUCCGCAAUGGACGAAAGUCUGACGGAGCAGCGCCGCGUGAGCGAUGAAGGCCUUCGGGUCGUAAAGCUCUGUUGUCAGGGAAGAACAAGUAUCGGAGUAACUGCCGGUACCUUGACGGUACCUGACCAGAAAGCCACGGCUAACUACGUGCCAGCCGCCGCCGUAAAAC
rnacentral:rRNA from 1 species